rnacentral:misc_RNA from 1 species
GGAAUCAUUCUUAAUUUGACGUUUCUCUACAAGGGGGGUAGGGGUGGAUUUGAACACCGCGAGAUCAAAAUUGUGGCAGGAAGCUCCCGUUACAUUUGUGUAAGUAAGAUACAUGGAGAACCAUUCAAAACCGAACAAAUAAAACCUUACAUUAAUUAAUAACAUAUGUACAAAUCCCACUCCUGCAAUAAUGCUUGUGGAAACAAACUCUACACACCCACGAACCCAAAACAAAAAUAUAUAUAUAUCAGCUCCUACCUCUGAUUUGCCCAGAAUUUGAAGUGUUUGAAAGAGAGAGAGGUGUCAAUGGAGGAGAGCACAUCACAUCACCCUUGCCCUUUCUUUGAGGAGAUUCUAGAAGCUGGGCUACAUGUAGUGCCAUUGCUCUCUGAUUAUUGGAAGGUAUAGAAAAACUUCGAGGAAUGGUUAGCGGAGGAAGUGGUAGUGGAGAACCCGUAUUUGAUGCCAGCACAGGGCUCUGAUUAGUUGGUGAUGUUUCUUGAUUUCGGUUGACUAAAGGCGCAGAGUGCCCAAAUGCAGUAGAACUUGAUGGCUUGGAGGCCAAUAUGCCAGGGGGACGAGGGAGCUCAUGAAGCUCACUUAUUUUUGGUGAAGAAACAAGGGGAGGUGAAGCACUGUAGGAUACAUCUAGAGUCGAUGG